rnacentral:rRNA from 1 species
AGUGAACGCUGGCGGUAGGCCUAACACAUGCAAGUCGAACGGCAGCACAGUAAGAGCUUGCUCUUACGGGUGGCGAGUGGCGGACGGGUGAGGAAUACAUCGGAAUCUACUUUUUCGUGGGGGAUAACGUAGGGAAACUUACGCUAAUACCGCAUACGACCUACGGGUGAAAGCAGGGGAUCUUCGGACCUUGCGCGAUUGAAUGAGCCGAUGUCGGAUUAGCUAGUUGGCGGGGUAAAGGCCCACCAAGGCGACGAUCCGUAGCUGGUCUGAGAGGACGAUCAGCCACACUGGAACUGAGACACGGUCCAGACUCCUACGGGAGGCAGCAGUGGGGAAUAUUGGACAAUGGGCGCAAGCCUGAUCCAGCCAUACCGCGUGUGUGAAGAAGGCCUUCGGGUUGUAAAGCCCUUUUGUUGGGAAAGAAAAGCAGCAGGUUAAUACCCCGCUGUUCUGACGGUACCCAAAGAAUAAGCACCGGCUAACUUCGUG